rnacentral:rRNA from 1 species
CAUAUUUUAGAGCUAAAAUCAUAAAGACUAAUUAAACUUUAUUACUUCCAAAUCCACCUUCUAUAGGAAUUUCAUUCCACAAUCCGUAAAUUAAAUACUUUUAUUGUAACCCAUUUCAACCUUGCUUAUAAACUGCACCUUGAUCUGAUUUAUUUAAUUAUUAUUAAUUAUGAACAUUAAUAAUUCUCCUAAAAUGCUCAACUACGACGAUAUACAAAUUUAUUAAAACAAAUACAAUUAAUCGUGGGCUAUCGAUUACAGAACAGGUUCCUCUGAAAAGACUAAAAUACCGCCAAAUUUUUUAAUUUUCAAGAACAUAUCUAAUACUAAUUUAAUAAUUAUAUUUACAUUUUA